UACGUAGGGGGCAAGCGUUGUCCGGAAUUAUUGGGCGUAAAGAGCUCGUAGGCGGCUCGUUGCGUCGGCUGUGAAAACCCGCAGCUCAACUGUGGGCUUGCAGCCGAUACGGGCGGGCUGGAGUUCGGUAGGGGAGACUGGAAUUCCUGGUGUAGCGGUGAAAUGCGCAGAUAUCAGGAGGAACACCGGUGGCGAAGGCGGGUCUCUGGGCCGAUACUGACGCUGAGGAGCGAAAGCGUGGGGAGCGAACAGG
rnacentral:rRNA from 1 species